AUGAGGGAGAGAGAAGGAAGGAGAGGAGGGAGAAGGAGAGAGGAAAGAGGAGAGUUUGCCACAAAAAUCUUGCUGAGAUCUGAGGAUGAAGAGAAGAAGAAGAAUUUAGCUCAAGGGGUGAAGAAAAUCAAGGCUGAGGUGAGCAUCAUGAAGAUGAGUAGGCGAGUGGCUGGUAUAGAGAGCUCCUCGAAUAGGGAAGUAGCAUUGUUGGAGGAACUCGAAGAUGAGAAUGUUCCGAAGUCAUGCCUUUGCCUUACUGUUGUGCUGAUACUGGAUGCAACAUUGUGGACCUCUGGUUCGAGCAUGGCCACGGAUUGUAGGGGAGGAAUGUAUUGCCUAAUGAGUUGUAUGCUUUCUUCAGAUCCUCUGUGCUCCCUAUCACAUCUGGCUUGGCCACCUAUAGAUUCUUGGGUCCAGGUUCCCGAUCUAAAGCGGAGGAACACGAGGUCGCAUCCAUUAAGUGGCAGAAGGGGGUUGCAACGAUUUUCUUCAGUCUGA
rnacentral:rRNA from 1 species